UAGCGAUUGUUUUAUUUGUUUUAUUUCGGAAUCCAAGUCCGGCCAUAGAAUUAGGCCACGUGUUAUUAUUACCAAUCAAUUGUGUACAAAGUCUACGCUAUGUCCAAAUCUGGAAAUGCUUAUAAUGAAGACCUUUUCUAUUACAUCAAAGUGAGCGAAGAUGAAGAUGAAUCUAAUGCCGUUGAGAUUCCCUGUGAAGUUGACGGAACUCUUCUCCUAUCAACACUUGUUGCUCAGUUUCCCGGAGCAUCUGGGCUUAAAUACCGCCAUCCAGAUAGUAAAUGUGUUCGUGGCAUUCGGUUGAGCGAUGGUAAACUGCAUCCACCAAGUGAGGUCGGAUGGGGCAAACACUUGUACAUUUGCGUAUUUCCUAAAGAAAACAAACGUAAAAUGGAAGAUGUCUCCCCUGAGAAUUCAGCGGCUAAAACUAAGAGACUGGAGAAAAAACUUACAUGUUCAGAUUUAAUUUGCCUUGGGCUGCCUUGGAAAUCUACUGAAGAAUCAAUUAAACAAUAUUUUGAACAGUUUGGAGAAGUAGUAAUGGUUCAACUCAAGAGGGAUAAAAAUGGAUCUUUCAAAGGAUUUGGAUUUAUUCGCUUUGCGACUUAUGCAUCUCAAAUGAGAGCUUUGGCACAGAGACAUAACAUUGAUGGACGAUGGGUGGAUGUCCGUAUACCAAAUUCCAAGGAAGGAGUGGUUCCUCAGAUGCCUUGCAAAGUGUUUGUGGGAAGGUGCACAGAAGACAUGACUGCUGAUGAUUUACGCGAAUAUUUUUCAAAGUUUGGAGAAGUAACCGAUGUUUUUGUUCCUAGACCUUUCAGAGCUUUUGGUUUUGUAACCUUUUUAGACCCUGAAGUUGCUCAAAGUCUGUGUGGAGAAGAUCAUGUCAUAAAAGGUGCAUCAGUGUCUGUGUCUAGUGCUGCACCCAAGAUCAAAAGCAAAACCAGCCACAACUGGAAAGAUGAAUCUUACAGCAACAACUGGGAUGGUAACCGAUCUGGACCUUCUGGAGGUUCCAACAAUAAUGGAGGAAAUAGCAACAUUGAUUCACUCAAUAUGCAGAAUUUAGGAAUCAAUCCUAAUGGUGGACCACCAGCUAAUUUUAAUCUUCCCAUUAGUCUAGUUGCGGCCGCUCUCAAUCAAGCUGGUUGGGGAGGGUUUCUGGGUGGUCCUGGGGGCAACCAAGGCCCGAACAACUGGCAAGGUGGACCCCCUCAAGGAGGAUCUGGUAAAAACUGGAAUGGUAACCAAAACUGGGGUCAAAAUGGACCACCACCAACUUGGAAUCAACAAGGAGGAAACCAGGGAUGGAAUGGGGGUGGAGGUGGAAAUGGUAAAGGCAACUGGAAUCAAGGAAAUUGGUCCAAUGGGCCAGGCGGGUGGAAUGGCAAUGGCGGAGGAUCUGGGCCCAACGGAGGGUGGAAUAACAAACCCCAGACAUGAGGUGAGCUGUGACAGUGGAUAGUCAUAACAGGGAUGUUUGUAUGGUAUCCUGCAUUAGUGUGUUUUAAGUGAAUAUAUCUACUUAAAUUAGUUUAUUAAUUUGUUUAUUCAAUUGUAUUGUGAAGUGAUAUGGGAUGUAUCACGGAGAGUAUAUGUAUAUGUACAUGGAUGCAUAAACCCCUUUAAAGAUUGUAUUAGAUGUAAGGUGACUAGAGCUGAGUGUAAUUUUAUGAUGUGGAUGAUGAGAUUUAUUUAAUAAAAUUAAGUAAGUAAUAUGAGAUGGAUGUUUUUAUUUGGUCGUAGUAAAAAUUUGUGGUUACUGUUCUAUUUGGGUGUGCAAAAUGUGAGAUGAAAUUAUUUGUAAUUUAUUUUGUUAAGGAAAACUUUUAUAUCUAGGACAAUAUCGCGAGGUAUAGAAUGAAUGAUAAGUUUGUUUGAGAAUGUGAAUUUUUAAAAGUAUAUUAUAAGAGAACGGAGAUUGGGCGCCUUUUGGGUGGUUGAGGAGCACUACUGUGAGUGCUAGAUGUGCCUGUACAAUGAUGACCCUGAAAUGUACUACACCUGUGCAAGUGGAUUAUUGUCCUGAAAAGCAGCAUCUAAGGGUGAGUGAGCUGUGGGGUUGUGGCAAUAAUAACUUAUGACCUAAGAAUGAAUUAUGUAAUGAUUUGUGUUCUUUUUGUGCAGUAGCAAAAUCAUUUUGUGGCUUGUCAAGAAUGCUAAUAUUGUGGCAGAGUGAUACAGUGAUACUUGUAUGGCAUUUAAAGCAGAAUUGCUGGAAAAUCAGUUAAUAUCCAAGAGGACUUCUAGGAAAUUGUGGAAAAAAACUCAAGAAACACACUUUGUAAGGAAUGAUCGUCGCGUCAAUUAUGCGAUAGGUUGCCUAGGACGACGAAAAGCUGAAAGAUGUAACAAACAACAACAUGAUGGAGCAGCAGAAUGGUGAUGUUCAGAAAUCUGCUUUAGAAAGCGAAAACCUGACUAUGGACACAUUUAAAUCGGUUUGUGUAAAGCGUGAAAAAGUAGUAGGAUUAAUAUUUGAAUAAAUGAACACUAACAAAAUAUA